AACUUAUAGCAACGUGUCACUUGGCUCUCGCAUCGAUUAAGAACGCAGCGAAAUGCGAUAAGUAAUGUGAAUUGCAGAUUUUCAGUGAAUCAUCGAAUCUUUGAACGCACCUUGCGCUCCUUGGUAUUCCGAGGAGCAUGCCUGUUUGAGUGUCAUUAAAUUCUCAACCCCACCGAUUUGCUUCGGGGGGAUUGGACUUGGAGCGUGCUGGCGAAGGUCGGCUCCUCUUUAAAUGCAUCAGUGGAGAGAAACUUGCCCCAGUGUGAUAAUCCUGUUGCGCUGUGGUGGGUGAAAGUCUGCUACCAACCGUCCCUCCGGGGACAUACAUCAUCUUAUUUUGACCUCAAAUCAGGUAGGACUACCCGCUGAACUUAAGCAUAUCAAUAAGCGGAGGCU
rnacentral:misc_RNA from 1 species